ACUACAUGUUUUGUAGCCAGUUUUGUCUCCAUUUUCUAGUUUGGUUUUCAUUUUAUUAGUUGUGUUGUGUUUUUGCCUCCUUUCUGAUGCCUCAUUACUGUAGAUUUUAUCUUCUUCUCUGUGCAAUUUUUUUUCUUUAUUUUAUUUUAUUUUUCUAUUCUAUUUUACACAUUGCUCCAUAGUAGUGAAUCUUGAAGUGAGAUAAAAUAAUACUAAUGUCAUUCUAAUACUAAUAUCAGUUAUAUUCCACCAAGUUUAAGAACGUUUUCUCAUACAGAAUUUCAAUUAAAUCGUAAGGACUUGGAAAUUAGAAUAUGUGACAGAUGGAUAUUUGAGGGGAUAUAAGGAAAGAUUUAUGGAAUGGCACAAGUCAGGUGCAUUUGCUAGUGGGCCAGAAGGACAACUACAUUAAGCCUGUACAACAGCUUUUGUUUUCCACAUGUAUAUAUGAAAUUCUGAAAAGUGAACAAAUAAUAUUAAUAACAAAUUCUGGUUGUGAAACCAUAAAUAUUGAAGCUCUUUCUCCCUUACCCAAUAAUUAUCAGUAUCAACCAUUAUCUUGGCUGUGUUAAAUCUUCGACUCUUCAAGGUACCAAACCACCAACAUGCGUCAAAUCCAGUUGCGCCUCAGGAUAUUCGAGUGCUGGUCCCAGGAGCAGGGCUUGGACGACUGGCGUUUGAAAUAGCUCGUCGUGGUUACACGUGCCAGGGCAAUGAGUUUAGCCUGUUCAUGCUGUUCACAUCCAACUUUGUGCUUAACAAGUGAGUGCAUUUGUUUGUUUGCAGAAAUAUGUAGCAUUCCUUAAAUUCUCCUGAUGAUCUGGGUCUUCGCAAGUAAGCCAACCUCCAUGUAAUCUCCAUCUCUCUGUAUAAUACCCAAAUGUUGGUUUAUCAUAUUUUAAAAUCACUAUCAGACUGCAGGAAAUGUAGAAAAACAUUAGUAUCCCUUCAUUGACUCUUACCUACUUAUCUUCUUUUAAAAUUAAGAAUUUGGCAGAUUGCAAUCUGAUGUAUGUAUUUUCCACAAGUAUUGCAAGAAUAUAUGAACAUACAUUUUAAA